rnacentral:rRNA from 1 species
GAUGAACGCUGGCGGCGUGGAUAAGGCAUGCAAGUCGAACGGACUUUAUUUUUCCAGAGAUGCGAUUACAUCAAAUCAAAGGUCGUUUAAAGUUAGUGGCGAACGAGGUAGUAAUACAUAGGAACUUCCCCCUAAGUCGUGAACAACUCACCGAAAGGUGAGCUAAUACACGAUAGUCUCUCCGGAGUAAAGUUUUUCGCUUAGGGAAAGGCCUGUGAAGUAUCAGCUAGUUGGCGGUGUAAAGGACCACCAAGGCCAUGACGCUUAGGGGAGCUGAGAGGCUGACCCCCACCGAUGGGACUGAGACACGGCCCAUACACCUACGGGUGGCUGCAGUCGAGAAUCUUCCGCAAUGGACGGAAGUCUGACGGAGCGACGCCGCGUGAUUGAUGAAGCUUUUCGGAGUGUAAAGAUCUUUUAUGAGGGAAGAAGUUUAUUGACGGUACCUCAUGAAUAAGGGGCUCCCAAUCUCGUGCC